rnacentral:rRNA from 1 species
UACGUAGGUGGCAAGCGUUGUCCGGAUUUACUGGGUGUAAAGGGCGUGUAGCCGGGUUGACAAGUCAGAUGUGAAAUUCUGCGGCUUAACCGCAGAACUGCAUUUGAAACUGUUGAUCUUGAGUACUGGAGAGGCAGACGGAAUUCCUAGUGUAGCGGUGAAAUGCGUAGAUAUUAGGAGGAACACCAGUGGCGAAGGCGGUCUGCUGGACAGCAACUGACGGUGAGGCGCGAAAGCGUGGGGAGCAAACAGG